GUGCCGCGGCAGUUCCUAUAGGCGGAGCGGGUUGUGCGGUCUGUAAGUUUUAUUCUGGGUUCAGGGCUUUUGUGGGGUAUUUGCAGAGAUAACUGCGUGAGAACGUCAAUUAUUAAACUAUUGCUCAGCGCCAUCACCCAAGUUCUGCCCCUUGACUCCGGACCUAGGAGCUGAAAUUGCCCAAGGCUGCCGGGACAGCCCUUUUGUAGAAGGUCAUUUAAAUUUACUCAUCAAUUGGCCAAUGUAUAGAAAGAGAUGACUGUUUUAAGGAGAGCUUGAAGGUGAUGUACUUUCUGGGUCCUUGCAUAGUUUGAGAAUGCCUUUCAGUUAACAUCACACAUAAGUGACACUUUGGCUGGAUACGGUAUUCCAUUGCCGGUUCACUGUUUUGGAGCAGGGUGCUGAAGAGAAGUCUGUUCAUUCUUUGGUACUGGGCUAAAUGCUUCAAAGACACUCCUCAAAAGGGCUUUGACAGAAAUGUUCCUGGCUUGGGAGAUGCAGUGCAGAAUGGCUUUUCACAUGCCAUGGCCCAUUCCCUUGCCUUCCUCCACCAUAAUGGAGGAGCAAGGAGAGCAGCCUUCCCAUCCUUCCUUGCAGCUGUGGAGGACCAUGUGACAGAUUCUGACCAAUGAGAUACAAGCUGAAGUUUCUUCUCCUCUGGAGAAAAUAGCAAAGCCUUAUUCAGAAGGAUUGGUCUUGUCUGCCUUCUACCUGCCUGGAACUCAGACACAAAGCCCAGAGGAGCAGCAUGAGGAAGAAAGUUCUUUAGAAAAGGAAUUUAAAAAGAACCUGAGUCCUUGAUCUCUCUCCUGAGCCAUUCCACGAGCCCUGGACUUUAGACCCCCAGACACCUGGUUGUGUGAGAUGAAUAUCAUCCUUUUUAGUUAAGUUUGGUAGUUGAAUGCUCCGUAACUUACAGCCAUGUACUAGCAAAUGCAUAGCUCUUUGUCAUGUAAGUGUCACAGGAUCCUUCGGGUGUUGCCUUUCCAACCAGAUACCUCCGUGGCCUUUACCCAAGUUUUGCUAGGGCCCACUGGACUCAUUCUGCCCACUUAGCCUGGCAGGCUGCACCCAGCUCAUGCUACCAGCCCAGAUCCCAUGCCUGCCAAGGGUGAGCCAGGUGGUGUGAUGCUGCAAGGGGUGUGUGAGUAAAUGAUCACAGGCUCUGGCCACUGUGCACAGCCAGGCACGUUGGCUGUGGCAGGGAAGGCAGCUCCAGGUGCAGGUGCCUGACUCCCUGAGAGGCUGCAGCUGGACCAGGUGUACCACAGGUGGCUUCCACUGCAGGCACUGGGGAACAGAGUGGCACCCACAAGCUUGGAGAUGCCAGGAACUGCAGAGCCCCAAAGAGGGUAUUACAGCCCUGGCUCGGGGAGCUCCUAGGUCUGGGCUCCCCAAGGGGCUGCAGCUCUUCUCUCUCCUUCUCUCCCUUUUGCCCACAACAUGGCGAGCAAGGGGUGUGUUUCAGCCCUGUUGUGUUGUUGUGUUACAGCUCUCUCAGUCCCGCCAUUCAGCAGGUCAUAAGUUCUUGUCUGACAUCCAAGAAGAAUGAGGUGUGCAGAGAACUGUAGUGUGAGCAAGGUGAAGAAGUGCUUUAUUGAAUGACAGUACAGCUCUCAGGUGACCCAAAGUGGAUAGCUCCUAUCUGCAGGCAGCUCAUCCCGACAAGCGUGCAGCCCUCAGCAGAGAAGAGACCUGGAGUGGGUAGCUCCUUUCCUCAGGCAAGUCGUCACAAUGAGUGUGCAGCCCUCAGCAGAUCAGCAGAGAGGAGACCCACAGUGGGUAGCUCCUAUCUGCAGGCAGGUUGUCCCGACAUCUCCCUGAGUCUGACUGAGUCCAGCUGAGUCCAAGGGUUUUUAUGGGCUCAGAAGGGAGAAAGUGCAUGCUGAUUGGUCUGUGGGUGGCCCAGAAAAAGCACCAGAGGUUUUCAUUCCUGGCUGUGGACUCCACAUGGAAUUGGCAGCCUAGCCCCCAGGCUUCAGGCCCUCCCUGUUUGAAGGUGGGCUUCACCAGAGACCUGCCCUUUUCUGCCCAGAAACCUGUCUGCCUCCUGCCACCAUCUACAUGUCACCCAUGGUGCCCAGGCUGUUCAUGCUGAGGAGUGCCUGCAGGCCCACACAAAACCACCCUCAACACCCCCUAGGCCUCCCUCCUGUGCUCCUCAGUGCCCAAAGUCCAGAGGGGGCUGAGGCAGCCGGGAGCUGGUAUAUCAGCACUACCUCAAGUGCACACACACCUGGUCAGUGGUGACAGCACACAGGCUCAGCCACAACUUUGCUCCAAAAUUGGAGUGGGCGCCAGGAGCGGGGAAAGGCCAAGCAGCAGGAGCAGGAACUUCCAAGCCUGCGGGAGCAGGGGGCCUUCCUGGGUGCCCCAGAGCACAGGGAUGCCCAGGUCCACAGCUGCAGCUGGGAGGCUGCAGCUAUGCCCAGGAGGGUGAGGCUCCCACCCCUUCAACUCAGAAGAGGGUGUGGCUCCCACCUGUUGCUGGCUCUGGAUGGCUCCAUGGAGUGCACAGCCCUAGCUGUGCCUCCCCCAUUGCAACCAGCGUAUUCACAGCGGCCACCCCAGAUGGGCUACCCCUGCCAUCAUAAGGAGUCUAGGGCAACAUAGGUUAUGUCAGAUAGGUUAUGUCACUUGUUCAGUGCCACUCAGGCCACCAGUGGCAAUGCUGGUGUACACUGAAGAAAAUGACUUAGAUGAGUCUCAAUCAGUUUAGAGGUUCAUUUUGCCAAGGUUGGGAAUGCGCCCAGGAAAGGGAGACACAAGCCACACACAGUAGGACCUGUGGCCUGCAUUUUUUCCAAAGAGGAGUUUCAGGGUUUUAAUAUUUAAAGGGUAAAAAGUUGGCAGGAGAGGAAAGGAGGAAAGACAAAAAAGAGGGAGAGGAUGGUCACAUUCUUGUGAGAUUUCGAUUAGUGCUCACUGAAUCUGCGUAUUGCAUGUGAAAAGGAGAGGGUAAAGAAAUAGUCAAUUAUGCAUUUGUCUCGUGCUCAGGAAAUCUGUACUUUACAUAGGAUAAAGUCAACAGAGCAGAAGUAGAAGUUAAAUAUGAAUUUGUCUUGGAGAGGGUGGUGUGGGAGAUGAUUUCCAGUCUCCUCUUGUCCCAUGUCCAUGAAGAUAAGCUGUUAAUUCACACUGUCAAGGUGAGGGAGGCCACCUGGAGAGACAUGUGUCCUUUUAUCUUGUAGCUGUCUAUUUAGAAACAAAAGACAGAUUUUUUGUGUGACUCAGCUUCCAAGCUUUCCUUUUCCCUUUGGUGUAUUGAGUUUGGGGUCCCGGAAUUUUAUUUUCUUUUCACACUGACAGCUGGGUGUGUCCAACUCCAGCAUCUGCGCCUGAACAGCAUGCUCUCUGCCUCCGUAAGAACUAGAAAUCUGGAGUUAUCAGGGGCGCAGAACACUUCUGCAGUCACUUCACCUGUUCUCUCUCGGUUUCCCAAGUAGUCCUGUAAGUUCAACUUCCCGUAAAGAAAUCUGGUCCAGAAUCUCAUCAGGGUUGGCUGGGCGUACCUCCCUGUCUGUGUGAGCCUGGAAAGGCACAUGCCCCAGUCCCAGCUAGGCCUAGGUGGGGCAGCCUCCCUGGUGUCUUUACCAGCCCUGUGGCAUACACUUGUAUAUGGCCUUUCAUGUAAAUGUCUCUUUUCUAAAGGAGAACCCAGUUUUAGGUUCCCUUAAAAGAAUUCUUAGCAUGUUUCUAAAAACCCUUCAGGAAUCCAGAGGGCAGCUGAACCCUUACUGAUGAUCUUUCUAUGCCCCUGGAGUGAGCUGGCAUAUCCAGACCCACAGGGCCUUAUCUUUCUGGGCCUCAUUAGGUAACUGGGCUGAGAGGCCCAACCCUUGGGGCUUCCUAACCUGUGAAGCUGGUCACCCAGUAUUUACAACAGGAGAGUGGUGAGGCACCAGUUCUCAGUAAUACAGAGUCUUCACUAUGUGGACUCUCUGGAGAAUAUUUCAAAGCGUAAUAGGAAAUGCUCUUCUCCAGAGAAAUCAGCUAAAUUUUAUCUCAUGAACACUGGGACUCAUGAAAUAGGUUAUUGAUGGGGUUCAGGACAUGCUACCCCAGAAUACGGCACCUUGGCAUUUGAGGGAACAGCAGAAGCAGGAAAGUCCCUCUCACUGUCCCUCAACCCUUCUUCCCUGAUGGAUGUCAUAAAACCCAGGAAAACCACUCUUCGACUUUCUCCUGCCCUUCUCCCCUGGAGCAGGUCAGAAAACCUUCAUUUGAGAAGUGCCUUCCUUAUACUCAGAGAAAAGGAACAUCCUUAUUUGUGAAGACACAGGGCUAGAGAUGAGUCAGAACAAAUAGGCCUUCCUAAGUUGUCCCUAGUUAUCACCAUUAGGUCAUCUCCUUUGUCCAAUUAUACUUCUCCACAACUGUUCAUUCUUUUUCAAAACUAAAUAUAAAAAUAGACAAGUUCACCUGUUUCUUUGGAUCUUCAUUUCUGAAGGUUUCAAUGUCAUGAAAAACUUAAAUACAUUUGUAUGCUUUUCUAUUGUUAAUCUGUCUUUUGUUAUAGCCAUGAACCUAACAAUGGAAGAGGAAAAGAAGUCUUUCUUUCCUGACAUUAUAUAUUCCUGAUGUGACCUGCCUUAAAAAAACAAAACAAAACAAAACCCGGUACCCAAUUAAUAUUUCACUUUAACAAUUCUUUCUGCCCUAUUUUCCUUUUAUUAUAAUUUAUUUGUAAAAUUCUGUUAUACAUAUAUUUUUGGAGGCCACCUGAAAUCUCCUUUUCAUGGGGAGGAGAAUGGUAUAUAAAUAAAUAAAAAUUCACUCACCCAAGGACUUCACUGACUGCUCCUAUCAGAUGCUCCUUUUUCCAUUGCCAACUUUCCUCAAACUUGGGAUGGUCCCCUGGGACCACCCAAAAUCUAACAGGUAGUGACAGCUUGUCCAUCGCUCAUACAGACUAAAAAAACCGACAUCAGCUGAGAGUCCUCCUAGAAGAAGGCAUACGAGGCCUCCUGUCAAAAAGAAAGAUGGACACAAGGUUUCUCAAAUGUAAUUAACUGUUUUGACAGGCAAUUAUUUUCCUCGUUCAAUCUAACUGAAACAUUCAGAGCCUGGCAGUCAGGGUUCCCAGGUCAGCAUUUUUUCUUUUAUCAGUGGGGUGCCUUUCUGACACCUGGUGACUCCAGCCACUGUGGUGAGGCAAUUAGAAUGGAGCUGGCAAGUUGUACCAGACAGGAUUGCUGCAGUCUGAACCCUGAAGAGGCCAGCAGCAUCACCACCUUUGCCAGAUUGAUAAAACUCACCUUCAAGAUGAAAUAUUGCUGAGAAACACUCCUUUUUCUUGGGCCAAACUUAUUUUUACUUUCAGUACUAUGGUGGAUUGUGCAAAUGGUCAUCAAGUCUACUCCUCCCUGUUAUCCACACCCUUACACAUAGCUUUGUAGCUCCUCCCAUCCAUAGGUGAAGUCUUCCUCCAUCCCUAUGUCUGGGUUGUCUGCGUGACCUUCUUUGGCCAAUGGAACAGUAGAAAAUGGCAUGUAAGCAGAAACUGGGGAAGCACGUGUCCACUGGAACUUGUCCUAUUGCUGUACUUGGAACCUUCCUGUACCACGUGAGUCAGCCCAAGCUAGCCUACUGGAUGAGGGUUGUCAUGAAUGUAGUCCCUUCAUUCCUGUUGCUGGCCUAUGGCAGCCCAUGUGCAGAAACACAGCCUACAAGCUGAAUGGUAGCAGACCACAGACAUGUAAGGUGAGCCCAGCCAAGGUCAGCGAACAACCAGCCAGCUGAGCCCAACCCAAAUUGGUAAUCCACAUUAUGAGCUAAUAGAUGGCUAUUGUUUAAACUACUAAGUUUUGGCAUAGUUUAUUACAUAGAAAAAAUUAACUGAUUAAUAUAUCCAGCCUCGUGCAUGGAAAGGAAAAUUCCGGCAUGAAUUUCUUAACCCCAUGCUAAAGGAUAGUCAGAUAAGCCCUUGUCAUUCAGGGGCUUAUCUGAUAGCACAGUGACUUAGAAGAGUUUUCAUAUUGGCUUUCAGUUCUGAACAAGUGCAUAUGAUCUUUUGGGCUGUGUUUACAUUUUCUUUGGUGCAAAAUUACAUGUGACUACAGUCUUCUUUAGCUCACAUUAGUCCAAGAACUUAUGGCAGAGACUGCUAAUUUUCCUCCAGUAUCCAUUCUUCCCUUUGCAAAGACUGGAGCCAGACUGUCUGGUGAUUCAAAUCUCGUUUCAUUACUUAUUACCUAUGUAAACUUGGGCAAGUUAUUCAUGUCUCUGUGUCUGCCUUUCCUCAUUUGUUAAAUAGGAAUAAUAAUGUAUCUCCCUUGUAACAUUGUUGUGAUGAUUAAAGGAGAUAAAACAGAAAAAGCUAGCUAUUUCACAGUAAUUGAUGUCUAAAAAAUUCGAUGAUGUGAAAUACAGGCCCAUGUUUUUGCAAGGUUAAUGAAAUGACAGGGGUGAGCAUGUGCAGAGAGCUGGUUUAGAUUCUGAGUGACAGGGCUGUACAGUAUAAAUUCCUUCCUGUCCUGGCCACAAUUUAGCAUUAUGUGAUGCCAUCUGAUAGCUCUAUAUCUUACAUUUUAAUGGGGACAUUUAGGGUCCUGUGGAUGGCUACAUUUUUCAGGGUAGUAGCAGCAAUUUAGAAUCUUCCACUUAAUUGGUGACUGUGUCAUCAGCCUGAUCCAGAUAUAUUGAGCAGGGAUUAUUUUAUUUAUUUAUUUAUUUAUUUAUUUGAGACAGAGUCUCACUCUGUCACCCAGACUGGAGUGCGAUCUCAACUGACUACAAUCUCCACCUUCCGGGUUCAAGCAAUUCUCCUGUCUCAGCCUCCUGAGUAGCUGGAAUUACAGGCACAUGCCACAACCCCCAGCUAAUUUUUUGUAUUUUUAGUAGAGAUGGGUUUCUCCGUGUUAGCCCGGAUGGUCUCUAUCUCCUGACCUCGUGACCCGCCUGCCUCAGCCUCCCAAAGUGCUGGGAUUACAGGCGUGAGCCACCCCGCACCCUGCCGAGCAGGGAUAAUUUUAAGAAUGCCAGGAUUUGACCUCUGAUCCCUGACUUCCAGAAAUGGGGCUGACUACUAUUUCCCUACUUAAUCUAUACCCCCUUCAUGCCCUUACGAAAAAGGACAAAUUCCUUUCUUCCCCCUUCACAUAUUCUAGUCCACGGUCUAAUAGUGAACUACCUUCACCCAUGCUGAUGAGGGCUAUCACCUUGAGAAAUGGAAGAAAAAGAAGAUAAGAGGAGCUUGGGUCCCUGUGGAGCCUCGCAGAGCGAAGAGGAACUUUGCACCACCUAUCAGUUUGGACUUUUACAUGAGAGAAGUAAAUCUCUAUCUUAUUUAAGCCAUUGUUAUUUUCAUCUUUGUCAGCCAAACCAAUAUCCUAACACAGUACUGCUCUUAUAACUAAUGUCAGCUUUUUGAGUAAGUAGGGAGGCUAGAUGCAUUAGCUUUCUAUUGCUGCUGUAAUAAUUUACCGUACCUUAGUGGCUUAAAACAACUCACAUUUAUUAUCUUUCAACUCUUGAGGGCAGAGGUCCUAAAAUCAAGGCAUCGACAGAGCUAUGGUUCUCCUGGGACUUUAGGGGAGGAAUCUGUUCCCUUGCCUUUUCCAGCUUGCAGAGGCUGCUCACAUUCCUUGGCUCAUGGCCCCUUCUCCCAUUGGUAAAGCCAGCAAUGCCAGGUUGGGUACUCUCAUCACAUCACUCCAACCUUACUCCCAUCAUCACAGAUCCCUCUGACCCUCCCCUUUUGCCUCCUUCUUCCAUUUAUAUGAACUCUUGUGACUACAUUGGGCCCACUCAGAUAGUACAGAAUAAUCCCCCCAUCUCAGGGUCAUCAGAUCCAUAAUUUUAGCUACAUCUGCAGCCUUCAUUCUCCUUUGCCAUAUCACCUAACAGAUUCACUGAUUCCAGGAUGGGACAUCUUUGGGGACCAGUAUACUGUCUAUCACUCUGAACAAACCAUGCCCUUGUUCUAAGAACCACUUCUUCCUCGUGUGCACUGAAUCCUGGAAUUUUAAUGUUGGAGAGCUAUUCCUUUUUGUUAAAGUACUCUAAGGGAGAUACGACUGAGCCUUCGAGACCCUUCAAUUAUUUAGCUCCUGUAAUUCUGACUUUCAUAUUCUAAGGUAAAUUAAAGAGAAUUACAACCCGUACAAGUAAGUAUAGAUGAACUCAUAUCUUCCUCCAAGAUUCAUAACCCUUCAGCCCCGGGACUUGUAGAGCUUACUUUUGUUUGUUGAGACUGUUGCAAGCUAUUUACAAACUAUGAGUCUUCAGCUCUCUUGAGCUAAUAUUAGGAUUCAGGUCAUAUAACUGUCCACAGAAAGUCACAAAUUGAACCAUGUUGCUUCUAUUGAAAUCCUAAGAAUUCUAACUGCAUUUUUUUAAAAAACUUUGCUUUACUAUUUUUUUCUUAAUUUCAUGAUAGGUAUUAACUGCAUCUUAAAACCUAUAGUGUUUGCAAGUGAGACUGUUAUUGUGAAAGAAGCAUGCACUUUUGGGGCUAAUAGAUCUAAGUUGAAAUCCCAUCUCUAUGAUUCAUUAUUUGUGCAAUCUUUUUCCAGUUAUUUAAGCCUUCUCAACCUCAGUUUCUUCAUCUGUAACAUGUGUUUUUUACAUACAUUGUAGGGUGGUUCUGAGGACUAUAGAUAAUAUUUUAAAAACACUUCUAGUAGUUCAUGUUUAGUAAGUAGUCGUGAUUAUUUAUCCUCCAAGUAUAUAUGUGCACUCAACAGAGUAGGACCAUCUUCCAAGCUGGCCUCUGUGAGGAAUACAAAAGGUACAAAAGACACCUGCCAUGUGAGGCAGUUGGGGCAUUGUGAUAAGAAUUAUCAAUUAAAGCAAAAAAAAAAAAAAAAAAGGAGGCAUAUGAUCUUGAUCAGUUUUUUCUUUUUCUGGGCUUUAAUGUCCUAAUCUAAAAAAUAACAACUAGAUUAGAUAAGCCACAAUGUUUCCUCCAGCAACGACUUUCCGUUGUGCUAAGAAGCACCCUCACUGUUGGUACGUAUGACUAACCCAUGAAAUAAAUAGGAAUUUAACCAACUGAAAAUGCUAGCUAUGUAGGAAACCUCAGAGGCACAAGCCAAGAAUGAAAAGUUGAUCCGUCUAGUGCUAACCUCAUAGCUGGAGCUGAGGACCUUGCAAAUGACUUAACUGUCAUUCAACCGCAUCACUUUUAGUGCCUCCUUUGGACUUGCACUGUAUCCUGGGGCCAAAAGGCACUGUGAACUGGAACAAAAUGGUAGGCAGCUGAUUUAAGGAGAAAUUGCACACAAAACACAUAGGAGGGCGUCGCUUCAGCCACAAAAGUGCACCAAAGGGAAGCAUUUAAUACUGCCAACUGAGUGUGGAGCUAAAUUAUAGCCACUGGAAUGCCAUCGGUGCUGAGUUAGUCAUCCAACACUAAUGAAAAUCUUCCAUUUGUUCACAAUAUUUUCUGAUAUCUUUCGCUUUUUGUCCUUCUCUUUAGGAAAUAAUAGGACAUUUUCAACUUGAGUGCUGUUGUAUUUGAGGUUCUCUUUUAAUGUACAAUUUUCUACCAGAUCACAGCAAGAGUAAAUUAUAUGUCAACCAAUGAUUUCAUAACAAAGCUAAUUUCCAUUUGAUGAAAGGAACAAAAGGUGGCAAUGUAGUCAAGAACAUCCUCUUAUGCAAAGUGACGGGCUCAAGUACAAAGCUUAGGAGGAUCAAGCCCAGAAACAGCUACAAGAGACAGGCUGUGAAUUUGAGGCUGCCUAUGGUGACAGCUCCCUGAGAGGAUGAGAAGGGCCAGGAAGAGGAACCUGGGGAGGCUGACUGACAUUUCUUUGUGUAAGUACUAAUGGGAAAGCCAGCAAACUCAAACUCCAUGGAAAAUAAGAGUCCAUGCCUGAUAUACACAAAUACAGAAGAGGUUGUCAUACAUGUGGGAUUUCAGCAGUUUGAGAAUGCAGAGCGCUUAGUUGAUAGAGAUGCACAAUAAAGGUUAGCUGGCAAAUAGUCCCUGUUUAUUGAGUCAACCCAGUUGUGUUUUCUCUCAGUGUCCCAUUGGGAGGCCCUGGAAUCAGAAAUUACCUGCCCAGCUGGGCGUGGUGGCUCACGCCUGUAAUCCCAGCACUUUGGGAGGCUGAGGCAGGCAGAUCACUUGAGGUCAGGAGUUCAAGAUCAGCCUGGCCAACAUGGUGAAACCCUGUCUGUACUAAAAAUACAAAAAUUAGCUGGGCAUGGCCGGGCGCAGUGGCUCAUGCCUGCAUCCCAGCAAUUUGGGAGGCUGAGGUGGGCGGAUCACGAGGUCAGGAGAUCGAGACCAUCCUGGCUAACACGGUGAAACCCCAUCUCUACUAAAAACACAAAAAAUUAGCCAGGUGUGUUGGCGGGCGCCUGUAGUCCCAGGUACUCGGGAGGCUGAGGCAGGAGAAUGGCAUGAACCUGGAAGGCAGAGCUUGCAGUGAGCCGAGAUUGCGCCACUGCACUCCAGCCUGGGCAACAGAGCGAGACUCCAUCUUAAAAAAAAAAAAGAAAAAAUUAGUUGGCCAUGGUGGCAGGGGCCUGUAAUCCCAGCUACUCAGGAGGCUGAGACACAACACAAGAAUCGGUUGAACCAGGGGACAGAAGUUGCAGUGAGCCGAGAUGGCACCACGCCACUCCAGCCUGGGCGACAGAGCAAGACUCUAUCUCAAAAAAAAAAAAAAGAAAGAAAAAGAAAAAGA